CUAGAUUUUCAACCUUAGAGGAGGAAAAAGUAGAGAUCAGUAGAAGAGAAUGGCUAAAGCAAUUAGCAAUGCAUCCAUGGUCUUGACAGUUCUGAUGUUGUCUUUUCUCCUUGUAGUCUCUUUCGCUGAAAGCCGAUCUCUUGAAGGAAUCCUACAGCCUCCCACUGUGAAAUGUGAUUUAGUGUACGGUGUGAAAGCUGGAGACACCUGUUUUGAAAUUGCUGAGGCUUUUAACUUGCCUGCCAAGUUCUUCAGUUCCAUCAAUCCCAAUCUCAACUGCAAAGCCCUCUUCGUAGGCCAAUGGGUUUGUCUUGAUGGAGAAUUAUCUUCUUAAGCAGCAUGCUGAUGCUCAUAGUUCUUGUCUUCUUGAUACUCCAUUAAUGAAUAAUCAUUAUAAGAAUAAUGAAUAAAGAGAUUAUAAGAACUAAUCACGUACUCUACCUUAUUGCACAACUCCAUUUUCCAAGUACUGUAAUGUAUUUUUCUGUUCGGUGUUGGAAUAAAAA